rnacentral:lncRNA from 1 species
GGCGCGCAGCGCGGAGCCAGACUCGGGCCGGAGCCCAGCCAGGAGAUGAGGGCAGAGGAGGGGGCAGCUCGUAGGCUUGACCUGAGUAGCUCUUCUCCACCCGCCGUCUGGACAGGACGGCAGGCCCCCAGCCUGGUCUGCCAGGGCUGAUUUCGACCCCUCCCUGGAACCCCGGUUGAGGGGGAGGGGAGCAGCGACGGGAUGCCCGGCUCUGCUGCAGACUCGACUUUGCCAAACCACCCGCCUCGGAAGCCUGAAACUGCUAUGGAGGAGGGCGCCUGCGGAUUGACCCCAGGGUCAUUGGGGAGAUGGAUGAGUUAGCCAGAACCCAUGGGAACGUGAGAGGGAGAAGGAGAUUCCGCAAAGUAGAGCUGAAAAUCCCCGGAGGAGGUUCGCUUCAGUCGGAGGUCGGAUCUCGGGAAGCUUUGGGGGAGGGGGCCCGGACUGCAUCAAGUGACCCCUUAAGGAGACAUCGCAGCCGGACAGGGGCUGUCAUAUGGCUCCAACCCCCCCCCAGGCACCUUCCCCCCACCUUUCAGCUGGAAGUCUCAAAGCGAGGGACUGCAGCAGAUUGAGCCCCCCCAACCCCCGCGCUCUGCGCCAGGACGCCAGGGUCCCUUCUCGGGAAAAGAAGCCCUCCUCCCGCCCGUCGAGCUCC